AUAAUGGGUCAGCGACUUAUAUUCUGUAGCAAGGUUAACCGAAUAGGGGAGCCGAAGGGAAACCGAGUCUUAACUGGGCGUUAAGUUGCAGGGUAUAGACCCGAAACCCGGUGAUCUAGCCAUGGGCAGGUUGAAGGUUGGGUAACACUAACUGGAGGACCGAACCGACUAAUGUUGAAAAAUUAGCGGAUGACUUGUGGCUGGGGGUGAAAGGCCAAUCAAACCGGGAGAUAGCUGGUUCUCCCCGAAAGCUAUUUAGGUAGCGCCUCGUGAAUUCAUCUCCGGGGGUAGAGCACUGUUUCGGCAAGGGGGUCAUCCCGACUUACCAACCCGAUGCAAACUGCGAAUACCGGAGAAUGUUAUCACGGGAGACACACGGCGGGUGCUAACGUCCGUCGUGAAGAGGGAAACAACCCAGACCGCCAGCUAAGGUCCCAAAGUCAUGGUUAAGUGGGAAACGAUGUGGGAAGGCCCAGACAGCCAGGAUGUUGGCUUAGAAGCAGCCAUCAUUUAAAGAAAGCGUAAUAGCUCACUGGUCGAGUCGGCCUGCGCGGAAGAUGUAACGGGGCUAAACCAUGCACCGAAGCUGCGGCAGCGACGCUUAUGCGUUGUUGGGUAGGGGAGCGUUCUGUAAGCCUGUGAAGGUGUACUGUGAGGUAUGCUGGAGGUAUCAGAAGUGCGAAUGCUGACAUAAGUAACGAUAAAGCGGGUGAAAAGCCCGCUCGCCGGAAGACCAAGGGUUCCUGUCCAACGUUAAUCGGGGCAGGGUGAGUCGACCCCUAAGGCGAGGCCGAAAGGCGUAGUCGAUGGGAAACAGGUUAAUAUUCCUGUACUUGGUGUUACUGCGAAGGGGGGACGGAGAAGGCUAUGUUGGCCGGGCGACGGUUGUCCCGGUUUAAGCGUGUAGGCUGGUUUUCCAGGCAAAUCCGGAAAAUCAAGGCUGAGGCGUGAUGACGAGGCACUACGGUGCUGAAGCAACAAAUGCCCUGCUUCCAGGAAAAGCCUCUAAGCAUCAGGUAACAUCAAAUCGUACCCCAAACCGACACAGGUGGUCAGGUAGAGAAUACCAAGGCGCUUGAGAGAACUCGGGUGAAGGAACUAGGCAAAAUGGUGCCGUAACUUCGGGAGAAGGCACGCUGAUAUGUAGGUGAAGUCCCUCGCGGAUGGAGCUGAAAUCAGUCGAAGAUACCAGCUGGCUGCAACUGUUUAUUAAAAACACAGCACUGUGCAAACACGAAAGUGGACGUAUACGGUGUGACGCCUGCCCGGUGCCGGAAGGUUAAUUGAUGGGGUUAGCGCAAGCGAAGCUCUUGAUCGAAGCCCCGGUAAACGGCGGCCGUAACUAUAACGGUCCUAAGGUAGCGAAAUUCCUUGUCGGGUAAGUUCCGACCUGCACGAAUGGCGUAAUGAUGGCCAGGCUGUCUCCACCCGAGACUCAGUGAAAUUGAACUCGCUGUGAAGAUGCAGUGUACCCGCGGCAAGACGGAAAGACCCCGUGAACCUUUACUAUAGCUUGACACUGAACAUUGAGCCUUGAUGUGUAGGAUAGGUGGGAGGCUUUGAAGUGUGGACGCCAGUCUGCAUGGAGCCGACCUUGAAAUACCACCCUUUAAUGUUUGAUGUUCUAACGUUGACCCGUAAUCCGGGUUGCGGACAGUGUCUGGUGGGUAGUUUGACUGGGGCGGUCUCCUCCUAAAGAGUAACGGAGGAGCACGAAGGUUGGCUAAUCCUGGUCGGACAUCAGGAGGUUAGUGCAAUGGCAUAAGCCAGCUUGACUGCGAGCGUGACGGCGCGAGCAGGUGCGAAAGCAGGUCAUAGUGAUCCGGUGGUUCUGAAUGGAAGGGCCAUCGCUCAACGGAUAAAAGGUACUCCGGGGAUAACAGGCUGAUACCGCCCAAGAGUUCAUAUCGACGGCGGUGUUUGGCACCUCGAUGUCGGCUCAUCACAUCCUGGGGCUGAAGUAGGUCCCAAGGGUAUGGCUGUUCGCCAUUUAAAGUGGUACGCGAGCUGGGUUUAGAACGUCGUGAGACAGUUCGGUCCCUAUCUGCCGUGGGCGCUGGAGAACUGAGGGGGGCUGCUCCUAGUACGAGAGGACCGGAGUGGACGCAUCACUGGUGUUCGGGUUGUCAUGCCAAUGGCACUGCCCGGUAGCUAAAUGCGGAAGAGAUAAGUGCUGAAAGCAUCUAAGCACGAAACUUGCCCCGAGAUGAGUUCUCCCUGACUCCUUGAGAGUCCUGAAGGAACGUUGAAGACGACGACGUUGAUAGGCCGGGUGUGUAAGCGCAGCGAUGCGUUGAGCUAACCGGUACUAAUGAACCGUGAGG
rnacentral:rRNA from 1 species